GCCCAGAUGGCGGAAUUGGUAGACGCGCUAGUUUCAGGUACUAGUCUCCGAAAGGUGAUGGGGGUUCGAGUCCCCCUCUGGGCA
rnacentral:tRNA from 1 species